CCUACGGGAGGCAGCAGUGAGGAAUAUUGGUCAAUGGGCGGGAGCCUGAACCAGCCAAGCCGCGUGAGGGAAGAAGGUACAGCGUAUCGUAAACCUCUUUUGUCAGGGAACAAAGGCGGGGACUAGUCCCCGGAUGCGGGUACCUGAAGAAAAAGCAUCGGCUAACUCCGUGCCAGCAGCCGCGGUAAUACGGAGGAUGCGAGCGUUAUCCGGAUUUAGGGGGGUUAAAGGGUGCGCAGGCGGCCUGUUAAGUCAGCGGUAAAGGCCCGGGGCUCAACCCCGGCGAGCCGUUGAAACUGGAGGGCUGGAGUUGGAGAGAGGUACGCGGAAUGCGCGGUGUAGCGGUGAAAUGCUUAGAUAUCGCGCAGAACCCCGAUUGCGAAGGCAGCGUACCGGCUCCACACUGACGCUGAGGCACGAAAGCGUGGGUAGCGAACAGGAUUAGAUACCCGUGUAGUC
rnacentral:rRNA from 1 species